GUUGCUAGACUGAGGGAAGUUUUUUAUAUGUUCCCAAGACAGGUACAGCAUGGGUGGAGUCAAUGCAAGCUUUCCCACAUUGCCAGUUUGCCCCAGCCCUGAUUUAGAGGAAGUAUCUCAAAUGGUGGGAAAAGACAAUUCAGGUCCCAUACUCUUAAAUCCUGAGCCUUU
ensembl:misc_RNA